rnacentral:lncRNA from 1 species
CAGAAGAGGCUUAUGUCAGGCAAUCCUGGGAGCUUGGAAAUGUGUUACAGGGUCAUGGACCUCUCAAGCAAUCCCCGAGAGAAGGAGCUGUGGAGAUGAAGUCAAAGAGGCAAUGACGAAUGCAGGAAGUUGAAGAUGCCAGGAAUGUGAAAUGCAUGCCAAGGAAAGCCACAGUCAUUGAGCAGAGGUAGCCCAGGGGAGAAGCCAUGUGUUUUAUAGCCAGCAAUGUAUGAACAGGGCUAUCCAUUCCCUUGACAGUUCAUACCAUGUUACCACAUAUGCAGGAUUCCAGACACAAAGCAGCAGGAUUACAGAAGUGUUUGUUC